GACGUAGGCAGCGAGCGUUGUUCGGAGUUACUGGGCGUAAAGAGUGCGUAGGCGGUUUUCUAAGUUUGGUGUGAAAUCUCCCGGCUUAACUGGGAGGUGCGCCGAAACUGGAAGGCUUGAGUGUGGAGAGGUAAGCGGAAUUCCUGGUGUAGCGGUGAAUGCGUAGAUAUCAGGAGGAACACCUGUGGUGUAGACGCUUACUGGACCAUGACUGACGCUGAGGCACGAAGCGUGGGAGCAAACAG
rnacentral:rRNA from 1 species